rnacentral:rRNA from 1 species
UAGGGAAUCUUCCACAAUGGACGCAAAGGUCUGAUGGAGCAACGCCGCGUGAGUGAAGAAGGUUUUCGGACCGUAAAGCUCUGUUGUUGGUGAAGAAGGAUAGAGGUAGUAACUGGCCUUUAUUUGACGGUAAUCAACCAGAAAGUCACGGCUAACUACGUGCCAGCAGCCGCGGUAAUACGUAGGUGGCAAGCGUUGUCCGGAUUUAUUGGGCGUAAAGCGAGCGCAGGCGGAAGAAUAAGUCUGAUGUGAAAGCCCUCGGCUUAACCGAGGAAUUGCAUCGGAAACUGUUUUCUUGAGUGCAGAAGAGGAGAGUAGAACUCCAUGUGUAGCGGUGGAAUGCGUAGAUAUAUGGAAGAAUACCAGUGGCGAAGGCGGCUCUCUGGUCUGCAACUGACGCUGAGGCUCGAAAGCAUGGGUAGCGAACAGGAUUAGAUACCCUGGUAGUCCAUGCCGUAAACGAUGAGUGCUAAGU